rnacentral:rRNA from 1 species
UACGGAGGAGGCAAGCGUUAUCCGGAAUUACUGGGCGUAAAGCGCACGUAGGCGGCUUUGUAAGUUAGAGGUGAAAGCCCGGGGCUCAACUCCGGAAUUGCCUUUAAGACUGCAUCGCUAGAAUUGUGGAGAGGUAAGUGGAAUUCCGAGUGUAGAGGUGAAAUUCGUAGAUAUUCGGAAGAACACCAGUGGCGAAGGCGACUUACUGGACACAUAUUGACGCUGAGGUGCGAAAGCGUGGGGAGCAAACAGG